rnacentral:tRNA from 1 species
AAUAAGAUGCCUGAUAAAAAGGAUUAUCUUGAUAGGAUAAAUUAUAUGAAAAAUCAUUCUUAUUA